CUACGGGCGCAGCAGUGAGGAAUAUUGCACAAUGGGGGGAACCCUGAUGCAGCAACGCCGCGUGGAGGAUGACGCAUUUCGGUGUGUAAACUCCUUUUAUAUGUCAAGAAAAUGACGGUAGCAUAUGAAUAAGCACCGGCUAACUCCGUGCCAGCAGCCACGGUAAUACGGAGGGCGCAAGCGUUACUCGGAAUCACUGGGCGUAAAGGACGCGUAGGCGGGUUGGAAAGUCAGGUGUGAAAUCCUACAGCUUAACUGUAGAACUGCACUUGAAACUUCUAAUCUAGAGUAUGGGAGGGGGAGAUGGAAUUAGUGGUGUAGGGGUAAAAUCCGUAGAUAUCACUAGGAAUACCUAAAGCGAAGGCGAUCUCCUGGAACAUUACUGACGCUAAGGCGUGAAAGCGUGGGGAGCAAACGGGAUUAGAUACCCGGGUAGUC
rnacentral:rRNA from 1 species